UGGAAUGGAAAAGAAUGGAAAGAAGAAGAAGAAGAAAGCCUUCUGGGAUGAGGAAUUGGGACUCUUCUGCACUGGAAGGAUGACCACACAAGGAAGAAAUAUGCUUGCGGAGGAGGAACGUGGUUCCUAUCCUCUUUGAAGGAUGCCAGAAUUAGUUGCUACCAAUCCCCACCCCCCAUCUACCCAACCCCAAGAACUCAAGAAGCUUUCUAGAUAGGAUAUUCCGGUGUCACACAAUCAACACAACACCUUGAUUCUUUGGCCAACUUGUUCAGAUGCCCCGUGAGUCCUAGAUGACAAUGUUGGCAAUGGAGGACCUCAAGAACGGGGCCUUCCUCUCAAGGAAAGGAGGUCCAUGGGAGAACCAAGAGGAAGCCCCAACCAUAAGAGACUCCAAACAGCAGCCACGAAGAGCUUUAGAACAAGGGUCUCCAACCUUGGCAACUCUAAGACUUGUGGACUUCAACUCCCAAAGUUGAAGGAG